GUCCCAGUAGCUCAGUAGGAUAGAGCAACGAGCGAAACAUCGGUGAAUCGGCUGCGAGUCGUCCCGACGCAUCCGGCUUCGGUGAAAAAGCGAGAAGAGGAAGGGACGGCGCAACGUACGAAGAGAAAAAAGAAAUAGGAAACAAAGACCAAAAGAAGAAGCAAAACCGAGUCGAGUCGGGAGUUCGAAUCUCUCCUGGGACG
rnacentral:tRNA from 1 species